CAUUUCAAAAAGGUAAGCUUUAAUUGUUUUAAAAAAUACCUAUGUAUUAGUAAGCAGUUCUACUACACAGCCACAGGCCUAUGGGAACAACCACACAUCUGCGAGAUGCAAAUAACACCAGAGCUCUUAUAACUACAACCAGUCUGCUUAAAGGGGCUAAGUGAUAUCUACAGCUUCUGGUUCAUCUGGACCAUUUCAAGGGGAAAAUGAUUCACUCCCUUACCAACUACCAGACACAUGGCUUCUGCACAGUGUGAUUCUUUGCUCAAGGGUAACCAAGAGCUCUUUUCAGACCUGGUGCUGGUAAUGCUGUGCUGAUGUUGAAGUACCAAGGCCAGUCAGAAAUACAGGCUGAUAUUUAAAUACUUACAUCAAUGCAAGUUGAAUAGCUUAUAUAAAUAUCAUUCAAGUGAUUUUUUUUUUCCCCUUCCUUCACAAUUGAGAGGUCUCUCAGUAUGAAGUGGUUCUAAUGUCUAACGCUGUAUAUCACCUGCUGAGAUUUAAAAAAACCUAACAUUUAUUUCUCUACUGAGUUUUACCCUCUACUCCAGAUAGUAAAAAUAAUAAUAAUUCAUUACUUAAUUACACUAGUGCAACUAAAGGUGCAACUGUGAAGCUCUUGCUCUUUUUUUUAAUUGCUGUAUCAGGAAGGCAAUAGGAGAAAGAAAUGUAACAGCCAGUUUACUGGGGCACUGGGUACACGUGGUUUCUAGAACCACUAUUUAACCUGACCUCUGAUCACUUGCAACCAACCAGAGACAUCAUACCAAGAGAUUAAAGGCACCACUGUAAAGGCAAAGUACUUUAACUGGAAAAGAAGAUCUUACAGUACUUGUCAAUAUCCUACCUUAUGGCAUACUUUUCUUCCUUUUUUAGUUUAAAAUAUACCAAAUAACUGACACUCCCCCCCCUCCCCCCAGCUGCCAGUAUUCAAAAAAGCAGCUGUUAAUUUCCAAGGAGGGGAUUGAAAAUGUCUUUA
rnacentral:lncRNA from 7 species